UAUCGCUUCGAUCCCGGAUCUCCGGUUCGCUCCCCGAGUGUCUCCUGUUGUUGCGGACGUGGCCGCACUAGGCCUGACCUUGCGCCCUAUAACCCAACCUCCGUGAACGUGAUUCAUCCCUGCAGCUCUUAGGGCAAAGCAGAGGAUGCAAAGCCCCGCACGGCGUCAACGUGAUGCACCGUGGUGCAAGCAAAGCAACGGAGCAACGGAGCCUCACAUCCCUUAAUAUCACAGCCCUUCCAUCAGCUUUCAUUCUGCAUCCUAUGGACUCGUGGAGACUUGGGCAAACUCCAGCUCGUCUCCAUAGGAACACAGCGGGAGAGAUGGAGAUGGAGAUGGAGAUGGAGACAGAGACGGAGAUGGAAAUGGAGAUGGAGAUGGAGAUGGAGAUGGAGAUGGAGAUGGAGAUGGAGAUGGAAAUGGAGAUGGAGAUGAUGGAGAUGGAGCCUCUGAGCUGUUAGCAGGGCGAUCCGUGGGUUCAUUUGGAGCUGAGGCUGAAAGCCUGCAGUGCUUUUCAUACCCCCCCCCCCUCCUUUCCCAGCACAGGGUAUUGGGGACCCCCAGCUCAUCCCCCCCGCACGAUGGCAGUACGAACCAAGGCACCGAACGCC